UACGUAGGGACCGAGCGUUGUCCGGAAUCAUUGGGCGUAAAGAGCGUGUAGGCGGCCACUUAAGUCCUGCGUGAAAUCUUGCGGCUCAACCGCAAGCGGUCGUGGGAAACUGGGUGGCUAGAGUGCGGGAGAGGAGAGUGGAAUUCCUGGUGUAGCGGUGGAAUGCGCAGAUAUCAGGAGGAACACCAAUGGCGAAGGCAGCUCACUGGGACGGUAUUGACGCUGAGACGCGAAAGCGUGGGGAGCAAACAGG
rnacentral:rRNA from 1 species